rnacentral:tRNA from 1 species
GGCCACAUGGCGCAGUUGGUCAGCGCCUGGCUUACAUUUCUGUGGGAACUAAAUGUACGUGGGUUCGAAUCCCGCUGUGGCCA